CCAGACGGGAAAGUAGAUCCAAAAAGAAGGCAGUUUUUUUCAUCAUUGUUCAGUACAUUACAAAUCGUAUUUAUCUGUCUUUAUCACACUUACUACAAAACGUUUGUAGAGGCGCUUUUGUAUUUACAGAAAUCUUUCGAAAGUUACAUUAUUUGCACACGUUAGAAUCUGCAAUGAGCAUUUCACAAAAGAUAGAUUUGUGCCGUGUACCUCAGUUUUACGUUUGAAAGCUGAUGCAGUGCCCACAAUUCUGGAAGUCCAGAAGGACCAUGUUAUGAAGGGACUGGACCAGAUAGCAAAUAAAAAAGUAAACAUUAUAUCCCAAUAUAUAAUAAAGCCAGAACCACAGGUACUGAAUUUUACAUAUUAUUCUAGAUGAUUUGCUUUUAUCUUGCUUUAUGCAAUAAAACAUAACUUAGGUGUUAAUUGAAAUUCAAUUUCUUAGACUCUUUUGGAUACCAAAAAGGGAAAAGGAUUAAAACUUUAGAAAAUAUAGCAAUGAAUAAUUGUUUCAAAGGUAAACAACAAGUAAUUAUAAUUUGUAUUUACUUCUAAACUAAUAAUUUUUUUCCUUGCAGGCAUGCCAUCUACCAUAUCUAACUUUAUGAUGUCUCAGAUUCGUUGUGCCAAGCGCUCGCCACAUGGAAGACGGUGGACACUGGAUGACAAAAUAAUGUCUUUAGCGAUUUAUAAACGAAGCCCAAAAUGCUAUGCUUUAUUAGAACGUCUCUUAGUACUUCCAUCAAGAAGAACACUUUUUUCAUUACUGCAGAGCAUUCCUUUCGAUGUGGGAAUUAAUGAACGCCUUUUCCUUCAUCUGGGGCACUGCCUUCAACGAUUUGAUGAAAAGGAUCGUUUUUGCACGCUGGCCUUUGAUGAGAUGGCAAUAAGGGAACAUAUAAAAUAUAAUCCAUCGGUUGACUGUAUCGAAGGUCUGGAAGAUUGUGGAAGCGGUAAGAGAACCAGGCAGUUGGCAAGAUAUGCCCUAGUCUUCUUUGCCCAAGGAAUUUGCCGAAUUCUCAAAUUCUAAGAAUAAAUUGUUUUAUCCUUCUAAACAGUUUGUUAUUGCGGUUGGUAUUGGUAUUACAGUUUUAGAAAAUAAGCUACCGAUUAUUUGUGAAAAGAAUAACCUACAAGAUGUAGCAACAAAUUUGCUUAACCAAGAAAUUGAUUUCUCAUUUAUUACUUGUGAGGAACAUUUUUAUUUUUUGAAAGAUUUUUUACUUAAAAGUAUAUGUAGAAUCGGAAUCCCAUGGUACUGUAAAAGACUUGUCCGAAAUUUAAGAUCUGAAGCCAGCCGGCAAAUGUCAGCACGCACAAAAAGAAAAAUUUUGCAUAAAUAAUAACAAUACCAUUAAAUGUCUACUUCUUGGACAAUUCAUACACCUACAGUACCAUCAAAUUCUGAUUCAUUGGGUCCACAUUUACAAACAACUUUGUCCUCUUGCAUAACGUUUUGUUUCAGUUUUCUUGGAAUCCCUAUGAUCUAAUGUUACUAGUUCUUAUUCAGUCUGUGUUUGUUAUGAAAAGAUGUGGCAUAGCAUUAUUAUUAUUGUGAAUCUUUGUUGUACUUUUGCAAAUACAAUUUGACAAAGCUCAA